UAGAAAUCCCGGGAGGGGGGGUAUAAAAUUUUUGCGGCACGAAUUUUUUUUUCAGUCGCGUGUCUCUGCAGGAAUUUUUUUUAAUGCAUUUAACCUCUGCACGAAUUUUUUUUCAAGACUAUUUCUACUUCGCUGUUUGCUUGCACGAAUUUUUUUUCUCUGACGCCAAUGGCUGCACGAAUUUUUUUUCCAGGCAUUUUCCUUUGCACGAAUUUUUUUGGGGGAAUUUUCACCCCCCCCCCUCCCGGGAUUU